rnacentral:rRNA from 1 species
GAUCCAGCCAUGCCGCGUGCAGGAUGACGGCCCUAUGGGUUGUAAACUGCUUUUAUACGGGAAGUAAAUGCGCCCACGUGUGGCGUCUGACGGUACCGUAAGAAUAAGGACCGGCUAACUCCGUGCCAGCAGCCGCGGUAAUACGGAGGGUCCGAGCGUUAUCCGGAAUCAUUGGGUUUAAAGGGUCCGUAGGCGGGCCUGUAAGUCAGGGGUGAAAGUUUGUGGCUCAACCAUAAAAUUGCCUUUGAUACUGCAGGUCUUGAGUCAUGGUGGGGUCGCCGGAACAUGUGGUGUAGCGGUGAAAUGCAUAGAUAUCACAUAGAACACCGAUCGCGAAGGCAGGUGGCCAACCAUGUACUGACGCUGAUGGACGAAAGCGUGGGUAGCGAACGGGAUUAGAUACCCCGGUAGUCCACGCCGUAAACGAUGGAUACUAGCUGUGGGGACUUCGGUCUCCGUGGCCAAGCGAAAGUGAUAAGUAUCCCACCU